CAGCAGGAGAGCGAGCGGAGACGUGCCCUCGCCCACACCCCCACGUGCCUCACCUGCCUCUGUGCCCGCCACCCGCGUGGACACGUGCACAUGGGGUCAGGGCCCACACAGCCUGCGGCCGGCCGGGCACCAGGGCUGAGUGAGGAGUUGGGAAAAGGCUGUGCCCUGAGGUGUCUCAUGCUCCCAGUAAACCCAUGCAUCCAUCUAUCUAACGUUUACUGAGCACCUCUGAUGUGCCGGCUGGAGGACAUCACGGGCCCAAGAUGGACAAUGUAUAAACAAGCACACUGGCCAGGACAGAGCCUGGGUGCAGUGUAGGAGCAGCAUGAGGCUGGAGCAGAGGCUGAAAAGAGCUGGGCAUGGUGGCACAUGUCUAU